UCAAGUUCCGAUGGUGGUGCAGCUGGUCUGAAGACUAAAUCAAGUUCAUUCUCAGUUCGAAUCCUCGCGUUCUACUCUUGUUUGUUCAAGUUUGAGGAAGUAGUGCAGACACAGAAGCUAAAGCUUAAUUAUCACUGGAGGUUCUCGCGCAAAGACAUGACUAUUGACAGGAAGCUUAUCUCCUCUUCUUUUCCUCCUUGCUUCGGGUUAACUCCAUCUUCCAGAAAACAGCAUAAUGAAUUUCAGAAUAUCACUAUGCCAAAGAUUGAAUAUAAAGCAUCUCGUUACCAGUACUCCUGUUUACAGCAAUGCCUCUGAUGUCACAGGGGAAGGAUUGAGUUUGAUGUUCAGGUGCUGGGCUACUAAAAAACAAGCUGGAUCCUCAAAGAAUGGGCGAGACUCUUUACCUAAGAAUCUUGGAGUGAAGAAAUUCGGUGGAGAGAAGGCACCGUAAAGUUUGAAAAGCACAAGCUCAGUGGACGUAAGUGGGUGCAUGUAGAGUCCAAAGAAGGUCAUGUGCUUUACCCUAUAUAUGCGAAUGCUGCAGCAGCUGAGAUGGUGAAGACAGUCUGAGUUCUUCUUACAAAUGAAUUCU